GACGAACGCUGGCGGCGUGCUUAACACAUGCAAGUCGAACGAAAAUACCAAGCUUGCUUGGUUGAUUAGUGGCGAACGGGUGAGUAACACGUGAGUAACCUGCCCCUUACUUUCCUGGAUAACUGCUCGAAAGGGUAGCUAAUACGGGAUAUUCUGACCAGCCUGCAUGGGUUGGUUUGGAAAGGUUGUUUUUCUGGUAAGGGAUGGGCUCGCGGCCUAUCAGCUUGUUGGUGGGGUGAUGGCCUACCAAGGCUUUGACGGGUAGCCGGCCUGAGAGGGGGGACGGUCACACUGGGACUGAGAUACAGCCCAGACUCCUACGGGAGGCAGCAGUGGGGAAUAUUGCACAAUGGGCGCAAGCCUGAUGCAGCGACGCCGCGUGAGGGAUGAAGGCCUUCGGGUUGUAAACCUCUUUCGUCAGGGAACAAGGCACUGCUUUUUUGGUGGUGUUGAGGGUACCUGGAUAAGAAGCGCCGGCUAACUACGUG
rnacentral:rRNA from 1 species